rnacentral:rRNA from 1 species
GAUGAACGCUGGCGGCGUGCCUAAUACAUGCAAGUCGAGCGAACAGACGAGGAGCUUGCUCCUCUGACGUUAGCGGCGGACGGGUGAGUAACACGUGGAUAACCUACCUAUAAGACUGGGAUAACUUCGGGAAACCGGAGCUAAUACCGGAUAAUAUAUUGAACCGCAUGGUUCAAUAGUGAAAGACGGUUUUGCUGUCACUUAUAGAUGGAUCCGCGCCGCAUUAGCUAGUUGGUAAGGUAACGGCUUACCAAGGCAACGAUGCGUAGCCGACCUGGGAGGGUGAUCGGCCACACUGGAACUGAGACACGGUCCAGACUCCUACGGGAGGCAGCAGUAGGGAAUCUGCCGCAAUGGGCGAAAGCCUGACGGAGCAACGCCGCGUGAGUGAUGAAGGUCUUCGGAUCGUAAAACUCUGUUAUUAGGGAAGAACAAAUGUGUAAGUAACUAUGCACGUCUUGACGGUACCUAAUCAGAAAGCCACGGCUAACUACGU